rnacentral:rRNA from 1 species
GGAAUUCCCGGUGUAGUGGUGAAAUGCGUAGAGAUCCGGAGGAACACCAGUGGCGAAGGCGGCGUCCUGGGCCGUAACUGACGCUGAGGUGCGAAAGCGUGGGGAGCGAACAGGAUUAGAUACCCUGGUAGUCCUGGCCGUAAACGAUGACUGCUAGGUGUUGGAGGUAUCGACCCCUUCAGUGCCGCAGCUAACGCAUUAAGCGGUCCGCCUGGGGAGUACGGCCGCAAGGCUAAAACUCAAAGGAAUUGACGGGGGCCCGCACAAGCGGUGGAGCAUGUGGUUUAAUUCGACGCAACGCGAAGAACCUUACCAGGGUUUGACCUGCCCUGACCCUCCCAAGAAAUGGGGGUGCCCUUCGGAGAGACGGAGAGAUGGUGCUGGAUGGCUGUCCUCUCCUCCUGUCAUGAGAUGGUGGGUUUAGUCCCGCAACCAGCGCCACCCUCGUCGGUUAUU